GUGAAAAUCACGUGAUCGCCCUUGUUCGGGGGCGCAAAAUCUCUGCGACUGAAGGUUAGCUGCUUUCGGAAGGGUAUUAAUUGAGAAUAAUUUGCAGACCAGGAUCCCAAUGCAAGUUCUCCAUUUAGCAGAGUGAUCAGGAUCUGAGUAUCAUUGACACUUAAAUGCGAAAGGGAAGAGGUUUAACCAUUCUAUCCAUGGGAGAAUAUUCCUGUUUCGGGCAAACGCUGACUGUUUCCCUUCCCUGAAGGACAUGAAAUGAACCAGUUCAGUUUUACUGAUAAUCCAGCAGUGCCCCUCGGUGUUGGAUCCACAAUUGACCAGAUUAAUUUCAGAGUUUCACAAUCUUUGUGUGUAUUCUUCUGGUUUCUCUCUCUCUACUUUUCUGUUUGAAAUUUUGAUUGCAUUCAGAGAGAUCAAACAAAACCACAUCCAGAUCUGACACUCAAUCUGUUUGUCAUAACCUAAUUAUCUCAGGAUUUUGAACAUUGAAGGAAGAAGCACUGUUCACCAGGGAGAAAUGCGUAUUGUCUGUGUGUCGAAGAGUCUGUGAAGAUUCAUCUGAAAUGUCCAAACACCAGCGCAGUCACACUGGGGAGAGACUGUGGAAAUGUGGGGAUUGUGGGAAAGGAUUUAUUUACCCAUCACACCAGAGAGAAAUCAUUCACCUGUUCUGUGUGUGGGAAAGGAUUCACUCAGUCAUCCUCUCUGCUGGAACACCAGCAAGUUCACACUGGGAAAAGACCAUUAAUCUGUUCUGAAUGUGGGAAAGGAUUCACUCGCAAUUCCAAACUAUUGGUACAUCAGCGAGUUCACACUGGAGAGAAACCUUUCACCUGUUCUGAGUGUGGGAAGGGAUUUACUCACUCAUCCAACCUGCUGACACAUCAGCGACUUCAUACUGGAGAGAGACCAUUCAGCUGUUCGGAGUGUGGAAAAGCAUUCACUCAGACAGUUCACCUGCUGACACAUCAGUGAAUUCACACUGGAGAGAAACCGUUCACAUGUUCCGAAUGUGGGAAGGGAUUUGCUCACUCAACCAACCUGCUGAGACACCAGCGAGUUCACUCUGGGGCCAGACCAUUCACUUGUUCUAUGUGUGGAAAGGGAUUCACUCAAUCAUGCAAACUGUUAACACACCAGCAAGUUCACCACAACCACAUUUGAAGGAUUUUGCUUUUAAAUCAAGGAUUGAACUUGGAUCUUUGGGCUGUUUGUACUGGUGUCAUUAGUCCCUGCUCAAAACUUGAUCUUCUCUUGGGAAAUAAGGUAGGGCAGGUGACUGAGAGGUCAGUGGGAGAAAUAUUUUGGGGCCUAUGAUCAUUGUUGUAUUAGUUUUAAAAUAGUUAUGGAGAAGGAUAGACUUGGUCUAAAAGUUAAAGUUUUCAAUGGGACUAAGGCCAAUUUUGACACUAUUAUGCCCCUUAAAAGCACAGUAAGACCACCUAUGUAUGGGAAUGCACAAGAUGGAUGACAUGCAAAACAAGUAUUUUACAUCGGUAUUUACUGUGGAAAAGAAUAUGAAAGCUAGAGAACUUAGAAAUGAAUGUGUAUCUUGAAAAGUUCCAUAUUAUAGAGGAGGUGGUGCUGGAUGCCUUACAGAGCAUAAAGGUGGAUAAAUCCCCAGGACUUCUUCAGGUGUAUUCUCCAACUUUGCGGGAAGUUAGGCUUGCGAUUGGGCCCCUUGCUCAGAUAUUUGCACCAUUGACAGUCAUAGGUGAGCUGUUAGGCUGGAGGUUGGCUAUUCCAGUGCCAUUGUUUAAGAAAGGUGGUAACAUAAAGCCAGGGAACAAUAAACUUUUGGUGAGCCUGAUGUCAGUUAUGGGUAAGUUGUUGGAGGGAAGUCUGAGGGAUAGGAUUUACAUGUAUUUGGAAAGCGUGGACUGAAUGGGGAUAGUCAACAUGUCUUUGUCCAUAGGAAAUUAUGUCUUGAUUGAGUUUUUUUUGAAGAAGUUACAAAGAAAAUUGAUGGCAGACUGGUGGAUGUUUUCGAUAUGGAUUUCAGUAAGUAAAAUUCUGCAUGGUAGACUGAUUAACAAGGUGAGAUCACAUGGAAUCCAGGGAGAGCUGGCCAUUUGGAAAGGCCUUUGGCCUGCAGUAUGCUGCAAGGAUUGGUACUUAGUAACUAUAACUCCUGCAUUCACAUCCAAAUCAUCUUUAUAAAUGACAGAAAUGAGUGGACCCAGCUCUGAUCCUUGUGGCACACCACUGGUCACACACCUCCAGUCUACAAAGCAACCCUCCACCAGCACUCUGUCUCCUACCUUCAAGUCAGAUCUGUAUCCAAAUGACUGGUUCUCUCUGUAUUCCAUGUGAUCUGACCUUGCUAAUCAGUCUACCAUGAGGAACCUUGUCAACUGCCUUACUGACAUCCAUAUAGAACACAUCCACUGCUUUGCCCUAAUCAAUCCUCUUUGUUCCUUCUUCAAAAAAAAUCAAGUUAGUGAGACAUGAUUUCCUACACACACAGCCAUGUUGCCUGUCCCGAAUCAGUCCUUCCCUUUCCAAAUAUUUCAAGUACUAUCCCUCAGGAUUCCCUCCAACGACUUGCCCACCACUAAUAUCAGGCUCACUGGCCUAUAGUUUCCUGGCUUUUCCUUAGCACCUUUCUUAAAUAGUGGCAUCACAUUAGCCAACUUCUGAUCCCUCAUCUGUGGCUAUCGAUGAUACAAAUAUCUCAGCAAGGGGCCCAACAAUCUCUUGCCUAGUUUCCCUCCGAGUUCUCGGAUACACCUGAUCAGGUCCCAGGAAUUUAUCCACUUUUAUGCGUUUUAAGCCAUUCAGCAUCACUACCUCUGAAAUAUGGCUAAUUUUCAAGAUGUUGCUCUUUAUUUCCCCACUGUCUAUAUCUUCCAUAUCCUUUUCUGUAGUAAAUACUGAUGCAUAAUACUUGUUUUAUUAUAUUCCCCAUUUCUUGCAAUUCCACACAAAGGCGGCAUUGCUGCUUUUUAAGGGGCCCUAUUCUCUCCCUAGUUAUCCUUUUGUUCUUAAUCUAUUUGUAGAAUCCCUCUGGAUUUUCCUUAAUACUAUUUGCCGAAGCUACCUCAUGUCCCCUUUUUGCCCUCCUAAUUUCCCUCUUAAGUAUACCAUUGUCAUUAUACUCUUAUAAGGAUUCACUCAAUCUCUGCUGUCUAUACCUGGCAUGCCCUUCCUUCCUUUUUCUUGACCAAAACCUUGAUUUCUCUAGUCAUCCAGAAUUCCCUACACCGACCAGCAUUGUCCGUCACCCGAACAGGAACAUACUGUCCCUGAACACUCAUUAUCUUUUUUUUUGAAGGCUUCCCACUUCUGAACCUUUCCGUUUUACCUGCAAAUAUCUGCCCCAAUCAACUUUUGAAAGCUCUUGCGUAAUACCAUUAAAAUUGGCCUUCCUCCAAUAUAGAACUUUAACUUUCAGACCCGGUCUACUCUGUUCCAUCACUAUUUUAAAACUAAUAGUAUUAUGGUCACUGGCCCCAAAGUCCUCCCCCACUGAUACCCUAGUCACCUGUCCUGCUUUAUUUGCCAAGAGCAGGUCAAGUUUUGCUCUUUCUCGAGUCGAUACAGCGCAUACUGAAUCAGAACAUUUUCCUGUACACUCUCAGCAAAUUCCUCUCCAUUCAAGCCUUUUACACUAUGGAAUUCCCAAUCUGUUUGGAAAACUAAAAUCCAUUCCAUAACCACCCUGUUAUUCUUACAGAUAACUGAGAUCUUCUUUCAAAAUUGUUUGUCAGAUUCCUGCUGACUAUUGGGAGGCAUAUAGUAUAAUCCCAAUAAAGUGAUCGUCCCUUUUCUUAUUUCUAAGUUCCACCCAAAUAACUUCCCUGGAUGUGUUCUCAGAUAUAUCCUGCCUAAGUAAAACCAUAAUGUUAUCCUUGCUCAAAAAUGCCGCUUUUCACUCCUGUCUUGCUUUGCUUCCCCUCCCGCUUUGACUUUCUAUCGGAUCUAUAUCUUGGAACAUUAAUCUGGCAGCCCUGUCCAUCCUUGAGCCUUGUCUCUGUAAUUGCAAUGAUAACCCAGUUCCAUGUUUCCAACCUUGCCCUGAGUUCAUCUGCCUUAGCUGUUAGGCCUCUGGCAUUGAAAUAAAUGGUGUUUAAUUUAUUCGUCCUUUUGCAUUAAUCUCAAUAACAAAUACGUAACGGUAGGGUAGGUUUUGAAAAUGAUGACGUUUUAUUGCUGUAUAUCAACACAUUCACAGUGGGUAAAGACAAUCCACCUGCACACUGUGAAAAAGGAUUUCCUAGUUCAUUAGGACUGGUUUUCAUAGAAUUCAGAGUAUUCCGACAGUAUGGAAACAGGCUGUUUGGCCCAAGCAUUCACAGAAAACCUCAGAGCAUGCCACUCAGACACAUGUCCUGGUAACCCACCUAAUCUACACAUCCCUGAACACUCUGGGCAAUUUAGCUUGGCGAAUCCACCUAACCAACACAUGGGAGGAAACCAGAACACCCAAAGGAAACCCACGCAGCCACAGGGAGAACAUGCCAACAGCCACACACUCAGUUGCCCAAGGGUGGAAUCAAGUCUGGGUCCCUGGCAUUGUGAGCCAGCAGUGCUAACCGCUGAGCCACUGUGGAUAACCACCAAUGAGUUCCCAAGAAUCUGUCGGAAUUUUUUUUGUUGCUCCUAUUAUCUGUAUCCACGUCAUGUUAUCUGGGCAUGUUUCUCAUGAUGUUUGAAAACACCACGUGUUUGGUUACCUAGUUGGGAGAAAAAAAACGAUAUAAGUUAACCUUUUAUUAAAACUACUGUGCAUUGAGUCUUCAUCUCAAAAGCAGACUAGUUUAUUUUGAAAGGCUGUCCAUCUGCCCUAACUCCUCCAUCCUCACCUCCAAGUGUGAGUAACCUAGGUUUUUACUUUUCACUCAAUGACAGUCAGUACAGUUCAUAUGAGCAAUUGGGAACAGGGUCAUCCCAUAAUGCUUGAAACUUAGUGUACUAAUGGUACACUAUUACAAUAAUAACCAUUACACUUCUUUUCUGAAUCUUUUCAAGUUUUACAACACCCUUCCUUUAGCAGGAAGACUAGAAUUACACACAGCAGUUACACCUCAACUGGAAUGGGACCUGCAUCCUUGUGGGAGGUGGGGGUGGGUUUACAGUACUGUUGAGGGCCUUGUAAAUAACUUAGCAGUGGGCUGAAAUCCAGAGAGAAUGUUCAAAAUAAUAACAAGGGCCAAAAAGAGAAGAAACGAGAGUCUGGAAGGCAUUGUUACAGGCCAGGUUAAGGUAUAAGGGAGUUUAAGGGUGAAUGGUAUUUAAUGCUUGGAGUCAGGUGAAUAAGGCGGAUGAUUUGAGGAUACACAUUAAUGGGGUCAUAAAGACAUUGCUGUCACUUGGACACGGUUAGCAGCUCAGUAUUCCAGGAUAUAGGGCCUUCAUGCAAGGCAGUGGAGUUGGUAAAGGAGGAGGAGAUAUUGUUAUUUUGUUUAGGAAAUCUAUUACAGCAAUAAGGAGGGGCGGCGUCUUUGAAAACUCCACAAAUAAAUAAGGAGGCAAAUUUUGAGAAAGUGUAAAAAUAGCAGGAUUGAGGUAGCAGGAGCUUUCAACUUCCUCAACAUUAAUGUAGGCAUAUUAUUUACAGUUUUGGUGCUUGUAUUUAAGAAAGGAUAUACUGGUGUUGAAUGCAGUACAAAGAGAUUCGCUAAGCUGAUUCAUGGGAUGAAAGGGUUAGCCUGUCAAGAAUAGCUGGAGGAAGGGAAUUUGCAGAGGGGAAAUACCAAGUAAUUAAACAGGUGGUGCUCAAAGUUGGGCUCAUAUUCACAACCCUGCACUUAAACAGCGUAUGUUCUAACAACUGAGCUAACUUGGCCUCCCACAGUCAGUGUUCAAAUCUUGCUUUAUAAGGCGACAAAUGGGUUUUUUCACUGACGCCACUGCAGUCCAAGGAAGUAAAAGGUAUUUGCUUUAGAAAAUCCCAAGGUUCCAAUGUAUUCUUCUCAUUCACAUUGCAACCCAUUUUCGGUACUUGCUCCAGGAUUUAACAUUCAAAAUUAAUUUAGUGAUGUUGUUUCCCUCAUCUUUAAGCAGCCUGUAUGACUCCAGUCACUCGGUCAAAUGGUGAAUAAAUCUGUCUCAAUAAACCAAUUCUUUUCAGCUACAGUCUAAGAAAUGUUCAUUUAUUUGCUGAGUCUCACACAACAUGUUCUUUGUUCUAUGUGUCAACAACUUUUGCCAAUUCUCAUGUUAUGGACUGCAUUUUUAGCCAUCGGUUAAAAAGAUUCGAAGGACCAGAGGUUUCUGGUGCAGUUGUAUGACUUCCUACUAAGUGGUACAAAGAAAUAAACAAGCUUAAAAGAUGAGGAAGGAAAUGUAUUUUUAAGUGAAGACUGUUCAGUUACUGUGUGCUUGUUGCUUAAAAUGGAUGAUUGAAGUCUUCACAGCGCAAUGUUUAAACAGACAGACACCAAGACCUUGUGAGCAAGUAUUUCAGGCAUUUGACACAUUGGACAAUUUGUGUUUCUAAAUUAAAUCUCUGUCCAAAAAAAAGUGCUGGAUAAAUUCAGCGGGGCUCUCAGAUAGUUAUUGAUAGCUGUUUCUGAUUCAGGAUUGGUACGGAAAAGGACAGAAAUGGGUCUAAAGUCCUAUGCUGGUGCUGCAAAUGAUAAAGAAAGAAAAUAGAAUUUUAACUUUAAUUGCUACAUAAUUGUUAAAAAUUGUAACAACUAUGUAGGAUGUUAGUGAAGCCAUUCCUGUGGAGAGAGAAAUAGUUCUAAGUUCUUGAAACUAACGUGAUUUCACUUGUCUCAGACCUACUAUGUUUCUAUAACACUUUCUGUUAAGAAAAGAACUUUUGGCUGUUUGAGAAGGGAAAAGCUUGAGAAGUGACCUGAGAGAAAUUGGAGACUUUGCAGGGAUUUGAGGCAAAAUUGGUGUUGAGCUUGGGAACCCAUUAGAGAUUUAAGAAAUGGUAAUGCUGUCUUGAGGCCUCCUGCUCCAUGACUAAAAUUUGGUGCAGCGACAUUAUCGUCAAAGACAAUAAGGAUGACCACGACUUGUCAGUUACUGUGGCUGAACAUUCUAAGGAGCUGAAUGAAGACUGCAGUCUUUUCAUUGAUGUGGGUUUGAAUCUCACUGCUGCAACUGUCCGUUGAGCAAGUGGCAUUUUCUUCUCCACAGGAUUUUUACUGUGUGUAAGAAAAGAGGAGACAAUACACAUAUAAUUUGCUGCAUGAAGAAAAAAAUAUAUACUUGAAGUUCUCUUAAAGUUUUUUUUUCUAGGAGCUACACAGACAUGUUUGAGUAUACAGGAGGCAUAGAAACAAAAUAGGUACAACAGGGGUGAGGAAGAACAGUGGGAGAGAGGGAGGGGAAAACCUACAUUACCUCAUCCUCAGUAUUUAUCCAGAACAGCAUUCGGUGAGAGUAACUACUGUACAGUCCUGUGGAAAGUAGGUCCCAUUCUCACUUCAAGGAAAAACUUCUCACGCUGCCUGGUACUAUCAUGAUGCUAAGUUGGAUAGUCUUUUAACAAAUCUGCUGACUUAUUUGUGAUGCACUUCGGGCCAAUAACACUAGAACUGAGAGAGCAGAGACUUGAAUCACUCCAACAUUACGGGACAGUUGAGUAUGGGGGACCGGUCAGUGUUAGGGCAGAUAAAUCUAGAGGUAAUUAAGAAUGGAUAGGGUUUCAGCAGCAGAUGAGCUGAGACGUGGAUGGGGUCAGGUGAUGUUACUGAGAUGGAAACAGUUGGUUUGGUGAUGAUGUGGUUGAAAGCUCAUCUUAGUGUGAAGUAUUUUUUCAGAGUUGUGAACAGUCUGGUUCAGCUUCACACAGUUACUGGACAGAAGGUUGCAGUCAGUGUAGAAGCUGUCUCGCUGGGUAAUUGGAGGAAAUUUCAGUUCAUCCUGCACCGGAUUCAGACAAGUCAGGAUGAUGUGUGACUUGGAGGGGGUCCUCACCGUGAUGGUGUUCCAUAUAGAUCUUCCACACUGGACGUUCACAGUAGUGAAUUUUAAGGGUUUGUGACAUGAUGUUAAAGUUCUGAUUGAGAUGUGGAUUUAUUCAAUACCUGUGUUUCACUUCUUUCGCCACAUUCUUUCUUUGUCUGUCCACUCACAAAGAGGUCAGAGUCUUGUGUAAGUCCAGACCAGGUGGUAGGUUCCGUUCCCUGAUCGACAUUAAUGAAUCACUGGCUUUUGUGGUCACUUCUUUUUUAUAGUACAUCAUUAAUCCAAUGGGGUGGCACGGUGGCUCAGUGAUUAGCUUUGCAGCCUCACAGCACCAGGGACCCGGGUUCAAUUCUAGCCUCGGGCAACUGUAUGUGCAGAGUUUUCACGUUCUCCCCGUGUCUGUGUGGGUUUCCUCCAGGUGCUCCGGUUUCCUCCCACAAAGAUGUGCAGCCUAGGUGGAUUAGUGGAUUAGCCAUGCUAAAUUGCCCGUGGUGUUCAAGGCUGUGUGGGAUAUAGAGGGAUGGGUCUGGGUGGGAUGCUUCAAGGGGCAGUGUGGACUUGUUGGGCCAAAGGGCCUGUUUCCACACUGUAGGGAGUCUAGUCUAAUCUAAUCUAAUCAAACUACCAGAUUCAUUACCAGCUGAUAUCAUAGGCAGCCUGGUGUUUGUGUGGACUCUCUCUUAUUUGCAUUGUUCUGUUUUAAAUUGAUUUCACGGAGUAUUCAAAGGGAAACUGACACCAGGCACAAUCCCAGCGUUUUAUGGGCCCCUCAGUUUAUUGUAAACAGAACAUUAUCAGAUUUUGAACAUGGAAGGAGAAAGCAUUAUUCACAGUGUGAAACCAUACACGUAUUGUGUGUGUGGACACCAGUUUUAAUUAACUACCAGGACUGACACAAUGCAAGCCUUGAUUGUGGGGAGGGAUUCACUUGGUUAACUACAGUCCUGGCACACACGCUGCUCACACUGACGAGAGACCUUUUAAAUGUCCAAACUGUGGGAAGUGCUUUAAAUGUUCUGGGCAACUGAUGAAUCAUCAAUAUGUUCACACUGUUGAGGGACCAUUCGUGUGUUUUUUGUAGACAUGUGUUCAGAUGAUCAACUAACCUCAAUAUACGCCAGCGAGUUCACACUGGAGAGAGGCCAUUCAUCUGCUCUGAGGGUGGGAAGGGAUUCACUCAUUUAUCUCAUUUGCUGACACAGAAGUGAGUUUGUAAGUAGCUGUUGGAUGUUUGCAUUUUGCUUUCAAUCAGUCAGUACUGAACCGUUUCAAUGGAAUCUGUUUCCACUGGUUUAAAUAACUCCAGUUCUCAGUCUUUAUAUUUAGAAUCAGAGUCAAAUCAAACAGUUUUCUGUGUGACCUGCAGUAUGUUUUUUUUAAUGAUGUGUCUAAUAAAAGUUUGUUCUCAUUGAACAUCUCUUUCACCCUCCCCCAUGUAUCCUCCAUCCUCACCUGCAACACCUGUGAGGAGCUCAAAGAGCUUCAUUUUCUAACUCAUGGUGAUAAUCGAUCCACUGCCUCUGCUGCUUCUGAUGAGGCCAAGGGGCUCCUAAAGUUUUCCCCUGUCUGAACCCAGAACCUGCAUGUUUCUCUGGUUUGUCUCCUACAUUGUUAUAGCCAGUAUGUUAUGAGCCCCUCUCAACUGGCUGCCAACCUUUUCUCCGAACUGUCUCCCUUCCUUGUGUGCUUUUUCACCUGCUUGCCCCAACUUCUGAGCCUUCUGUGUUCCUCGUGACUGUCAAUUUCGACUUUUCUCCUUGACACCUAUCAUGUGUUUUUUUUAUAUCUUAUCUUAAAUUCUAUUUGUCAUACAAGCAGCCCUGAAUGUUUGUCCUUCCUUUCCUUUUUGAGUGUACUUGAGCCAGCUUCUCUUUGAAAGUAGCCCUUAUUAUUAUUUAUACUUUGUCCCAUCAACCUGUCACUCCAGUCAUUGCUGUCCAGCUUUGACCUUGCUCUGUUGAAGACAAUUCUCCAUCAACUGAGCUUUCUUAUUCUGAACUAAUGCUGGUUAUUAUCUGACAUUAUUCUGCACCUUCCUACACGUGAUCAUGGUCUCCUGAAUGAUCUGCCACUGACACUUGAUCUACUUGGCCCCCAUCAUUCCCAAGAAGUAUGAUCAAACGAGCACUCUUUCUUUUUGAACUGAAUGCACUGUUUUCGGAACUUUGUCGUGCAUACAAUCCAGGAAAACUUACCCUUGCUGCCUCUUACUCUACCAAUAUUCCAGUCUGUGUUUGAAAAACUGAGGUCUCAAAUAACACUAUAGAACAGGAACAGUCCCUUUAGCCCACAAGCAUCCAUUAACACACGAUUUUCUAAUCAUGAAAUCUCUUUAUUUCCCCUGCACAGUUUGUAUCUCUCUAUUCCCUGCCAAUUCACAAAUCCAUCAAGAUGUCUUUUAAGCAUUGUGAUUGUACCUGCUUAUCCCACUUUCUCUGGCAAUGCAUUCGAGGCACAUACUGUCCUGUGUGUAAAAACUUACUUUUCACACCUCCUUUGCAUUUUUCCCUUAUACCUUAAACUUAUGUCCCCUACACACUGUCAUUUCUACUCUAGACUCCACCUAUCCAUGUCUGUCACAGUUUAGUACAUUUCUACCUGAUUGCUCCUUAGCCUCUGAUGUUUAAAUGAAAACAAACCAAAUUUAUCCAACAUCUCCUCAUAACUAAUAUCCUCCAAACAAGGUGACAUCCUGGUAACCUGUUUCUGUACCCUUUGCAAAGCUGAUCAUCCUUGUGGUGGUUUGGUCAGCAGAAUUGUACACGACAUUGCAGAUGUAGCCUCACUGAAGUUCUAGUGAGCUGCAAUAUGACCAAUUUUUAUGCACUUUGCCCUGACCAUCAUCUCCACUACGGUUGCCAUUUUCAGGGAACUGUGAACCUGUAGACCUAGAUACUGCUCUAUGAUCGUGCUUCUCAGAAUUCUGCCAUUUACUGUGCACUUACCUCCUUCAUUAGACCUUCCAAAAUGUAUCACCUCACAUUUGUCUGGAUUAAAUACCACCUGCCAUUUUCCCAUACAAGUCUCCAGUCAAUCUAUAUCCUGCUGUAUCCUCUAGCAUUCCUCCUCACUACUCUCAGCUCCACACAUCUUUGUCAUUCAUAUAUUUACUAAUUUGAUCACCUACAUUCUCCUUCAAUUUUUUUUUAAUAAUAAAUAUGUUAACAACAGGUGUCUGAUUCCUACAGAAAAGCACUGGUCACAGAUCUAUAGCUACUUUUCAUCUUCUAUGACAAAGCCAGUUCUGUACCCACCUCAUGGUGUAACCUAGGUCACUUAGACUUCUGUAUCAGCCUGCCAUGAUGGGCCUUGUCAAAGGCCUUGCUGAAGUUCAUGUGGAUAACAUGCACCGUGGCUUCCUGCAGAGGAGGCCAUGUCUCUCAAACUGGAUUGUGUUUUUUUUGAAGAAGUGAUGAAGAUGAUUGAUGUAGGCAGCGCAGUGGAUGUUGUUUGCAUGUACUCUACUGAAGCAUUUGACAAGCUCCCUCAUGGUAGGUGGGUCCAGGAGAUUAUGUCACAUGAGAUCGAUCCAUGGUGAGUUGCUAAAUUGGAUUGGGUUAGAGGACAGAGGGUGGGUGGGGAUGGUGUUUUUUGACGAGAGAUCUGCAACCAGUGAUGUUCCACAAGGUUUGUCAUUUUUAUAAAUGAUUGGGAUGAAAAUCUAAGUUGUCUGUUUAAUAGGUUUGCUAAUGCUGUGAAAAUUGGUGCAGCUGACGAUAGUGAGGUAGGUUGUCAAAGGACACAGCGGGAUGUAGAUCAAUCGGAAAGUUGGAUGGAGAAAUGGCAGAUGGACUUUAAUUCAGAGAAGAGUGAGGAAAUGCAGUUUCGGAGGCUAAAUGCAGGAGGAAAGUAUACAGUAAAUGGCAGGACCAUUAGGAGCAUUGGUAUAAAGGGGGAUCUUGGGGUCUAAUUCCAGAUAGCUCCCUGAACACAGUUGGAUAAGGUGGUAAAGAAGAAAGUUGAGUGGACCAGUGCACUGUCAUCAGUGUCGGGGAGAGUCUUAAAGACAAGCUUUAUUUUUGUAUUUGUUUUCAGUCUGGAUUGAGAGGCGGGCUCACUGCCUGACCAGGUAUACAGGUAGACUUCUUCAUUUCAGAGGGGAAUGUCAAGGCUGAGAAAAUGAGGAAGAAAAUGUGAAACAAAGUUGGGGUUAUGACACAGCCCAGUUUCACUUCAUUCUUUACCCUGGACCUAUCAGAUGUGAUGCUGUUAAUCUGUGCAAAACAGGGCAGUGAAAGCAGCAGUUGGCCCAAGAAGCUUUGAUGAACAAAACUUGUUUGGUCAUCUCCUUUGUCAGCUUCCUUUCUAUAAAUUGAUUUUUAUGUUUUCCUUUCCACAAGGCAUCUGUUUCUUUCUCCAAACACAAAUCUUGAAUUCAGAAUGACUGUUGGUGCUUUUAAAAAGGGACACUUGUCCAAACCAUCAGCAAUAUGUCCAGAGUACCAAACUGCAGCCAAUUAUAGGUGUGUUAACAUCAGUUGAAACAGAUCUAAUAUUGUCAGACUUAAUUUUGGUAGCGAUAACAGCAGAAUUCAAUUCUUUCAUAAAAUACGGAAAUCUCUGGCUGGGCCAUCAUUAGUCACCCUGGAGAAGAUGCUGCUGAGUUUCCUCCUUGAACUACUGCAGUAUAAAGGUAUUGAGGUUCACUUAUAUAUCUCCAGUUGAAGGAUUGAGUGAAUCGCUUCCCACAAAUGGAGCAAAUGAAUGGCCAUUCUCUAGUGUGAACUCGCUGAUGAGCAGAGCGAGGAUGAACACCUGAAACUACUCCCACAGGAAGUGCAGCUGAACAGCUUUUCUCUGGGAUAAACUCGCUGGUGUCUCAGCAAACUGGAUGAUUGACUGCAGCCCUUCCCACAUACAGAGCGUGAACUUGCUGGUGUCGAAUGAGGGCAGAUGCAUGUCUGAACUUCUUUCCAUAGGAGGUGCAGCCAAAUAGUUUCUGCUCAGUAUGAAUUUGCUGGUGUGAUUGAAGGCCGGAUGAAUGAGGGAAUCUCUUCCCAUGCACCGAACAAUUGAAUGGCUUCUCCCUUCCUCGGUGCGAAUCCAUUGACGUCACAUGAGCCAGGAUGUCUGUGUAAAUCUCUUCCCACGCUCUGAACAGGUGAACAGUCUCUCCCCAGUGUGAAUUCUCUGGUGUGACAUGAGUUUGGUUAUUUGAUUAAAUUCCUUCCCACACACAGAACAGGUAAGUGGCUUCUUCCUGAUGCGAAUUCAUUGAUGGAUUUCCAGCUGGGAUGGGUAAUAUGGGUAAUUGAAUCUUUUUACUGUAGUUCUCACAUUUCCACGGUUUCUCCACAGGACUGUCACCUUUGUAUCACUUCAGAAUGGUUGAUCAACUGAAGCCUCGACAGCACACUGAUCGAGCAGGGUAUCUCCCUACUGUGAAUGGUGUAAAUGUUUUUCCAACCUUCUUGAUCGAUUGGUUCAAUUUCUCUCCACAAGAAAUAUGCUGGAAUGCUCCCACAUGGGAUGUGUAACAGGGUAAAUCUUUUAUGCAGUCUACUCACUGCAAUAUUGUCAGCUGAAUAUUGUGUGUAUCACCUACAUACAGGUCAAACAUUUCUCCUUCCACAUUCAGAGGCUGAAGGGACUCAGCUCCUCGUAAAUUGCAUGAGUCAACCAUUCACAGCAGGAAAUUUGAUUUGUGUUUAAUAUCUGCAAAUACUUCUCUUCUAAUAUCCUGCAAAAGGAGUUUACAAAAGUCACUUACUGUCAUUGCAGGAAUAAAUUCAGAACAGACAUGUCCAGAUCCUAAGGAACAUUAUUCUUCUCUCUUAUUUCUCAAAUCUGUAAACUCCUGGCUCUACCCUCCUUCCUCUUUCAACUGAAAUCCAGAUCUAUCCCCCUAUCUCUGUCCUCCUCCUUCCAGUUUUCUCCCUUUCUUCGUCCUCUUCUCUCUGGAUCAAGUUCCCAACUCCAGUCGGCUGACUGAAAAUCAAAUCAGUGAGUCUGAUUCGGGGUUUGAGUCUCCAGUGGCUGUUUGGUGAAUCCUCCCCAUACACCUCUAGGAUUUCCUUCUUAGUUACAGCCUCAUCGAUUUCUGCCCAAGUGAGACACGGCUUCCCUUUCCGAAAAUGGCAGCCAAGUAUCUGGGGAGAAUUCCCGUCCCCGACCUAACCAAGGUGGCUGUUAGUAAUCCUUGGGCCUGAUACAUUGGGGCCCCAGGCCUCCUCUACGAGAUUAUAAACUGCCCAGGCCAUCACCUCCCGCGGUUUCCAUUCCUACCCCGUCUCACAAACUCCUGCCUCGAGAGCAGGACAGGGAUUUUGUUGCUUGAGCCUGGAGAGCUUCUCAAAUUGAGUCCCCUGCAGCCUGCUGCAAUGCCUGCAUUGCGCACUGGGUCUGUG